rnacentral:tRNA from 1 species
AAGGCUUUAAGUUAAUUCUAAACUAAUAUCCUUCAAAGCUAUAAAUAAAGAUUAAAUUUCUUUAAGCCUUA